rnacentral:rRNA from 1 species
AGUGUCUGGUGGGUAGUUUGACUGGGGCGGUCUCCUCCUAAAGAGUAACGGAGGAGCACGAAGGUUGGCUAAUCCUGGUCGGACAUCAGGAGGUUAGUGCAAUGGCAUAAGCCAGCUUGACUGCGAGCGUGACGGCGCGAGCAGGUGCGAAAGCAGGUCAUAGUGAUCCGGUGGUUCUGAAUGGAAGGGCCAUCGCUCAACGGAUAAAAGGUACUCCGGGGAUAACAGGCUGAUACCGCCCAAGAGUUCAUAUCGACGGCGGUGUUUGGCACCUCGAUGUCGGCUCAUCACAUCCUGGGGCUGAAGUAGGUCCCAAGGGUAUGGCUGUUCGCCAUUUAAAGUGGUACGCGAGCUGGGUUUAGAACGUCGUGAGACAGUUCGGUCCCUAUCUGCCGUGGGCGCUGGAGAACUGAGGGGGGCUGCUCCUAGUACGAGAGGACCGGAGUGGACGCAUCACUGGUGUUCGGGUUGUCAUGCCAAUGGCACUGCCCGGUAGCUAAAUGCGGAAGAGAUAAGUGCUGAAAGCAUCUAAGCACGAAACUUGCCCCGAGAUGAGUUCUCCCUGACUCCUUGAGAGUCCUGAAGGAACGUUGAAGACGACGACGUUGAUAGGC